CCUACGGGAGGCAGCAGUGGGGAAUCUUAGACAAUGGGGCAACCCUGAUCUAGCCAUGCCGCGUGAGUGAUGAAGGCCUUAGGGUUGUAAAGCUCUUUCAGCUGGGAAGAUAAUGACGGUACCAGCAGAAG
rnacentral:rRNA from 1 species